UUCCCUUAUCUGAUUUUGCUGCCCCAAAAGUCAUCACACUUUUCUUAUUUUCUUGGCUGCAUCAGAUCAGAAGUCCAGCCCCUCUCUCUCUACUCCUUUUCCUCUUUCUUUGUUCUUCUUUCUCUCUUCUUCUGUUGCUUCUACACGGCAGCCCUCCCUUUCUCACCUACACAAUAUAUUCCUCUCUAAAGAAGAAAUUAAAGGGUUAACACUAAAAUUUCAGCUUCCAAGUUUGUGGGUGUUACCAGUUUCCCAAGUCUAAGCUCCUUCGACUUUAGGCUCUCGGUUCCUCUGCUUUCAGGUAAGGGAUAAGUUAUAUGAGCAUUUGUUAACAGGUUUUAUUUUGGAGCAGAGGGAGCCUUAGUCGAGUUUUGGAAGGAGCUGGUUUAGUUUUUUAUGUAUAGAUCCUAAGUUAGCAAUAUGAUGUUUAGAUUUGUAGCAUUGUUUAUUUUAGGAUCUAAUGAAAGUGUAUACCUUAAAGUAUUAAGAGAUGUAUCAUGUGAAAUUCCGAAUUUGAACAAUUGGUGAAUUAUGUUAUUCUUUGGAGUACAAUGUAGAUGCUCUGAAUGUCAAGUGAAAGGUUAUACCUUUUAAGUAAAGAAACAAGGAUUGCAAAUAAUGAGGGAAGCUUUUGUAAAAGUUUUCAAAAAGUUAAGUUGGUUCUUGUUAAUAUCAGGUUUAGACUUGAUAUUAGCAUGCCGGUCAUGGUCACAAAUCCGGGUACCGGGUUUGGGGCGUGACAGUUGCUCCUUAGAGUGGUGCUUAGGGAUGGCAAUUUCUGCUCGACCCACGGGUACCCGGUCCGAUCCAAUCUUAAUGGGUUGGGUUUUACUUGGUCCAAUAAGGAAUAAGAUCGGGUAU